ensembl:lncRNA
GGCGUCCGGAGGAGCCGGCUCGGAGGGGCUGGGCUGGGCCGCCCCCGCCUCGCCCCCGCCUCCCCGGCCUCGCCGCUCCGUCGCCUCCUGGGACUGCGGCCCACGCGCCCCGCCCGCCCCGCUGAGGUGGAACCCGAGGCCGGAGCUUAGCGCCCAGUAAGCCUGGAAAAGGAAAAGGAGAAUUCAAAACUAAGAUUUGUCCUUACCCACCUUGCACGUCCUCAGAAGAUGUAAAAUCCUACCAUGGUCAAGGACUUGUACAUGGUGCAUACAAGAUCUGGUCCAUCCUGAGCACAUAAUUUUCCAUCCCAAGGAAGCAUGAGAGGAGCUCCUAUAUGUGACUGAGACAAGUCUAUCUUGGCCCAAAGAAAAACAUUUAUCCUAGGGCGUCUUUCAGAAAAGAGGAUCCAAAGCCUUUUAAUUGAGUCACUGCAGGGGAUCCUUGGGUCCAUAUUUAGCAAGACUGUCUCUGUCACCAAAAAUAAUGGAACACCACUCAGGACAACCAACAUUAAAAAGUCAACUACUUCAACUUUAAUCUUCCAGCUAAAACAUCUGUGUUUUAUACAGCCUUCAGAAAGGCAAAGGCCUUCUUGAAGACAUGUUCUGGAUCAACAUUUUUCACUUGAAAUGAAAGUACAGAAACCAGAAGAGACCUUGAAAUUCUCAUAGGACUAGAAAGACAAAUUUGGAAAUGUGAGGACACAAGAUUCCAAAGAGAAGAGACGAAUAAAUAACUGAACACUUGGAGAGCCAAUUUUCCCUCUAAGAAUUUUCCUAUAUCUGAGAUGAAUGACUUGAGAAGAGAUAUCCUCUGAAAAGCAUGGCAUUUAUUUUCUAUAGUCUCUUUGUAAUAUAAGAAUUGAAAUUCAGGAUUUGCCACAGGAUGCACCCCCACCACCACUACAGUGAAUUAACAGGUUCUCAGAAGAAAACACCAAAAAUCUACAUCUUAAGAUCUGAUAUGAAAAAGUAG